GGGGUGUGCUCAGAGCAGGGGGCCUGAGGAGUGGCUUCUCUGUUUAUACCACACCCAAGAGGAAUCUGGGUUUGUUGUGACAAGGGGCUCAUAGCUUAUGGCCUUCUUACCAACAGCACCCAACAAAG
rnacentral:snoRNA from 1 species